GGGGAAUAUUGAGUAAUGGGGGAAAUCAUGAAGCAACAAUACCGCGUGGGGGAAGGAGGUUUUAGGGUCGAAAAGUUCUGUAAUUGGGGAAGAAAAAAAGAGGGUACCCAAGAAAAAAGUCGCGGCACACUGUGUGCGAGCAGCCGCGGUAAUACGGAGGGGACAAGCGUUCUCCGGAUUUACUGGGCGUAAAGGGCACGGAGGCGGUUUUUUAAGUCAGAUGUGAAAGGUACCGGCUCAACCGGUAACAGGCAUUUGAAACUGAAAGACUUGAGUAUUGGAGAGGCAAGUGGAAUUCCUAGUGUAGCGGUGAAAUGCGUAGAUAUUAGGAGGAACACCGGUGGCGAAGGCGGCUUGCUGGACAAAUACUGACGCUGAGGUGCGAAAGCGUGGGGAGCAAACA
rnacentral:rRNA from 1 species